rnacentral:rRNA from 1 species
UACAGAGGGGGCAAGCGUUGUUCGGAAUUACUGGGCGUAAAGGGCGCGUAGGCGGCCUGUUAAGUCGAACGUGAAAUCCCCAGGCUUAACCUGGGUACUGCGUCGGAUACUGGAUGGCUUGAAUUCGGGAGAGGGAUGCAGAAUUCCAGGUGUAGCAGUGAAAUGCGUAGAUAUCUGGAGGAAUACCGGCGGCGAAGGCGGCACCCUGGAUCGAGAUUGACACUAAAGCGCGAAAGCCAGGGGAGCAAACGGG